rnacentral:rRNA from 1 species
UCGCGGAUCAGCAUGCCGCGGUGAAUACGUUCCCGGGCCUUGUACACACCGCCCGUCACACCAUGAGAGUCGGGGAUACCCGAAGCCUGUGAGCUAACAGUAAUGGAGCAGCAGUCGAAGGUAGAAUCAAUGAUUGGGGUGAAGUCGUAACAAGGUAAC